UUUUUUUUUUUUUGAGACGGAGUCUCGCUCUGUCGCCCAGGCCGGACUGCGGACUGCAGUGGCGCAAUCUCAGCUCACUGCAAGCUCCGCUUCCCGGGUUCACGCCAUUCUCCUGCCUCAGCCUCCCGAGUAGCUGGGACUACAGGCGCCCGCCACCGCGCCCGGCUAAUUUUUUGUAUUUUUAGUAGAGACGGGGUUUCACCUUGUUAGCCAGGAUGGUCUCGAUCUCCUGACCUCAUGAUCCACCCGCCUCGGCCUCCCAAAGUGCUGGGAUUACAGGCGUGAGCCACCGCGCCCGGCCUAUGAUGUGCUUUUAGCUAGGAGUGAAAAGGAUCCACUAGCCAGAAAUGGACUAGUCACCUCCUACAGGAAGCCUUCUCAGACCACCCCCAGCCCAAAGGGAAUUCCUAGUAUACUUUUGUUUUUUUUGAGACAGGGUCUUUGUUGCCCAGGCUGGAAUGCAGUGGUGCAAUCAUGGCUUACUGCAGCCUUGACCUCCUGGAUUCAAGCAAUCCUCCCACCUCAGCCUCCCAUGUAGCUGGGACCAAAGGCACACACCACCAUACCCGGCUAAUUUUUUUAUGUUUUGUAGAGCUGAGGUCUCACUUUGUUGCCCAGGCUGGUCUUGAACUCCUGGGCUCAAGUGAUCCUCCCGCCUCAGUCUCUCAAAGUGCUGGGAUUAUAGGCAUAGGCCACUGCGACUGGCAUAAACUAUAUGUCUGCCAAUCUCCUUGAAGGCUAGGGGGCUUCAUGUCACUAGCCUGGCUACAAAAAUUGCUGAGGGUCUCCAAGUUCCACACAGCCCCCUUGGUGCCUCAGCCUAUAGCCACAUUCCCCACACGCCUGAGUUUGACUUGGCAAAUGUGAUGUGCCAGGCACAUUAACCGCCCCAUUUCAUGCCCACAACAUCCCCCUUAUCUUCCAUUUCACAAAAGACUAACCAGAGGCCCCUCUACAGCAGGCAAGAGACGACUCUAGCUCCCACAGCUGCUAUGAAGAGCAUCACAUUCAUUCAGUAUGAUUUUGUUCAGGCCCAAGCCCAUCUGUCUUUCCAUUGCAGAAUAACUGCCUCUGAUUUGUUUCCAUCAGUCUGGUUCUUCUAGCACAGUAAUCCUCAACUUGGAAGCACAGAAUCACCCAGGGAGCUUUUUAAAAGUACUGAUGCUGGGCUCCAGAGAGACAGGUUUCUUUGGUCUGGGACUCAGGCAUGAGUAGUUUUUGGACAUCCCCCCUGUGUCCCUAUGGUGCUUGUGUGCACCCAGGUGCAAGAAGCACUACUUAGAUCUUUGGGUCCUUCUGUAGGGGGAGGCUCCCUCCAACCUAGGGCAGACGGCAAUGGCCACAGAACUCUAGGAAAUCCCAAAGGGAGGCCUCCUUCCAGGGAAAGAAACCCACUGCCCCCCGGCAGUUUUCUCCCAUGAGGUGUGGGCCCUGCAGGCCCAUCUCAGCCCUUUGGAGAAGCAGAAGGGACCCUGCACAGCUGAGUGUGCCACAUACAUUCGCACGUGCACAGUCCCGAGCAGCCCUGCUAAAGCCGGGAUUGUAUUUCAGGCAGAAAUGCAACCAACAGCCGGGCAGUAGGGCCUGCCCCGCCUCUGUACUUAGGCAUGCCAGCUUCUGUGCCUGCCCCUGCCAGCUGGGCAGAGGCAGCGCCGGGUGCUGCGCUGACGGACUACCUCCCACUGUGCCCCUAGGGGAACAGCAGUGCCUGUUCCAUGCCUGGAGCCUCUGUGGCCAACAGCACUUCUUAAGCGCACCCGGCACAAAAAGGGCCAUCCCUGCCCUACGAGAAAUGGGGCCUCCUUUCCCAGUGUGGGGGCACUGGAUGAGAAGAGUGGGAAAGAAAGGCUCCAGCAACAAACAAGAAUAGAGAGUUCUGUGGCAGGUUAGAGAGCCCGCAAGGCCUGAGUAUGGCCAGAUCAUAGCAAUAGUGACAGCAAGCCUUCAUCAGUGCUGACUUGGAGGCAUCCAACAGCAUCGAGCUGCCUCGUCCAAUCCUCAGAGCAACCCCAUGCAGUAGGUCCUGUGAUGGCCCCGUUUCACGCAUGGGCAAAGCAAGCCUCAUGAGGAGCCCCUGGCUGGACCUGCUGGGGUCCCAGGGGUCCCCUGGACCCCUGCCCCACCCUUGCCUCACAUCUGCAUUCCUUCAACUACCACCUGGAUGGAACCCUGGCUGCCAACUUAAACUUCUCAACUGGGCUUUUGCCAAGUCAGUCCCAUGCUCCAACGCCUUCCACGGCUCCCUCUUGCCUAUAAAGGACAAAUUCAAGCCCAGUCUUUCUUGCCAAUCUGAGCUCCCCAAGUUCCUUGAUCCCCGUCCCCCACACCACCAUUCAAUACAUCAUUCAUGAUUCAACACAUGUAUCGAGCACCCACUAGGCGCCAACACCCAACACCACUGCUCCAUGCAGCUUCUUACUUUCCAAGUCUGUGCUCUAGCUGCUGCCCCCUGCUGGAAUGCUUUCCCUUCUCUCUACCAAUCCCAGUUUCCCAAUUCUCCCCAAGCAUCUCUGUCCUCCAGGAGGCUCCUGAUCACUCUUGUUCCCUCUUUUCUGUUCCCUCCUGGACUUUAUGUUGGGCAUUGCUCCCCAACCAAAGUAUGUGCCUUGGACAAGAGUCUCUCGACACUCCAGGACUGGUGCCUCAGGACAUGACAUGGGACAUAGUAAUUACCUGAAAUUCAUGAUGGAAAUGCUUAGAAUUAGAGUCCAAAGGUCUGAGGUCCAGUCCUGCUUUGCCCUUACUAGCUCUGAGAUCCUGGGGAGGACACGUAACCUCUCUUGAGCUUUAGUGUCAUCUGGAAACAGGAACAAUAGCAGUUCCUACCUCAUGGGAAUUGUUCUGAGCACGGAAUGAAGUGACGGGGCUUCAAGUCCUAUGGAAAUCAUAGAUGGUCAUUUUAAAGCAAGUGGAGGGAAUGGGAGAUCUGAGGAGCAGCAAAGCUGUUGGUUCCUUCGUGGGCUCACCAGCAGGCAGCUCGGUGCCAGGGCUGCAGGUGCCAGGAGAAGGGUGGGGAAGGGAGGCCGGGGGCUGUGUCCCUGCAACAUGCCCCUCCCAGACCCUACCUUCAGCAGGUAACGGGUACUUGCCAGCUGGAUUGAGAGGCAGCUCAGAGCCCCCUGGGCCUACUCUGGGGGGAUGCCAGGCUAAGCAACCUGAGGCCCCUGAUCUAUAAGGAUCUCCAACAUCAGCCCUUACCUCUGAGUUUCCUGUCUCAUAUCUCAAAGAACCCUCCAACCCUCCAGAUGGAGAAACCAAGGCCCAGAGAGACUCUGGCCCUGGACUCGCAGUCUGGCUGGGUUUUCCCCCAGCCCACACUGCCUCCCCUGGGCCUCUCACUCCAAACAGCUGGGAUCAUCUUGAGACGUGGUUAAGUGUCCUCCCCAGGGUCACAGAGCUAGUAAGGCCCUGUGCUGGCCUCCACCCCAGGCUCCCCACGACUCCCCAACCCUGGGCAUCCUACAAAAGUCCCUCUAGCCCCUUAUAACUGGUUCCUCCCAGGCUGGACUGGGACUGCUGGCCCCUCCGCUAUACGUUUGGUGAAUAAAAUGUAUUGCUGUGGGCCAAGUGGGCUCUGGCUCACUGGCGUGUGGAGAGGGGAAAAAGGGACAGGAGCCCAGUGAUUAGCUCAGGCCCAGGCCCUCGUCACAGGAAACUCCAGAAGGAGAUUGCAACGCCCUCCGACCCACUGCCUUCUCUUCUCCUCUGGACUCCUCCCAACACGUUUACCUCCCAUUCCCCGCCCACAGCUGCAGCAGUAGGGGCUGGGCUUUGGGCUCUAAACACUGGGGCUGGCCCAGCCCCACCACCCCACUCAGCUCCCACCCUUCUGCUUUGUCCCCUAUUCCCCCAGCCUGAACCUCUGCUCUCAGGUUUGGGGCUAGAGGGUCAGGGUGUGUAACAGCCUCAAAAAUGGAGGGGUCCCAUAGAAGACCCUUCUGGAAAUUCCAUCCCUCCUCCGACCAUCUCCAUCCAGGAGCUGAGAACCCUGCUGUCCGGGAUUCUCUGCCAUGGUCCCAUAAGACUAAAGGUUGAAGGCAAGUCCCUGACCCCUGCCCAGCUCCUCCCAGACACAGGCCAAGGCCCUAGUCCCUGAGGGCCAUCUCAGCCAGGCAGGCCAAGCUCUGGAUUGCUGGGCAUGGGGGCUGUGACCCACCCUCAGUCACAGUCACAGAACUGCCCCACCCCCUGCCCCAAAUCUGCAGCUCCCCAGUGAGAUCACUGGAAAUGAGGGUUGGGUGUCAGGGCCCGCUGCUCUCUGCCUCAGUUUACCUGCCUAAAGUGAGAUGAACCAUCUUUGGCUGGGCUCUCUCACUGAGACGGCCAAUUGAGAUAAGGCUGAAGAUGGCGAAAGCCCCACCACUGCCUGAGCACUUUCUGUGUGCCAGGCUCCCCACGAGGUGGGAUGGCUUCCCCUUAGGGAGGUUACACACCCCACCCAAGGCAGCAUGGCCAGGACGUAGCAGAGCUGGAAUUCAGACCCACACACCCUGGGUCCAGAGCACACGUGCUUACACGCUGAGCUACGUGGUCAUCACUCAGCAAAGGGCCCCAUGUUCAGAUCUGACUGGGGAGGCAGAGGGCACAGCAAGUGGCAGACCCCCUGCCAUGCUGGCAAACAGCUGCUGCACAUCACAGGGAAGCAUGCGCAGGGCCUGCAGGCACCGGCUCCCGCGCACACGGACCUGGAACACACAUGC
rnacentral:lncRNA from 1 species